GUUAAAAUGGCGAAGAAGAAUAACAAACUUCUGCUACCUUGAAGUUGACGAGAAACUGAAGGAUCUGACCAUGCUGACAGCAACAUUUGUCAACAUGCAGAGGAUUUUUUUGGACCCCAAUACAUUAAAAGACAAGUGUCCUGAUCCAGAUGUAAAUGGUUAUGCAGUUUUUCCAAGAAAGCAGGAACAAUGAAGCAG